UUCCGGUUGAUCCUGCCGGACCUGACUGCUAUCGGAUUGAUACUAAGCCAUGCGAGUCAUUGUAGCAAUACAAGGCAGACGGCUCAGUAACGCGUAGUCAACCUAACCUAUGGACGGGAAUAACCUCGGGAAACUGAGAAUAAUGCCCGAUAGAACACUAUACCUGGAAUGGUUUGUGUUCCAAAUGAUUUAUCGCCGUAGGAUGGGACUGCGGCCUAUCAGUUUGUUGGUGAGGUAAUGGCCCACCAAGACUAUUACAGGUACGGGCUCUGAGAGGAGUAGCCCGGAGAUGGGUACUGAGACACGGACCCAGGCCCUAUGGGGCGCAGCAGGCGAGAAAACUUUGCAAUGUGCGAAAGCACGACAAGGUUAAUCCGAGUGAUUUGUGCUAAACGAAUCUUUUGUUAGUCCUAGAAACACUAACGAAUAAGGGGUGGGCAAGUUCUGGUGUCAGCCGCCGCGGUAAAACCAGCACCUCAAGUGGUCAGGAUGAUUAUUGGGCCUAAAGCAUCCGUAGCCGGCUCUGUAAGUUUUCGGUUAAAUCUGUAUGCUCAACAUACAGGCUGCCGGGAAUACUGCAGAGCUAGGGAGUGGGAGAGGUAGACGGUACUCGGUAGGAAGGGGUAAAAUCCUUUGAUCUAUUGAUGACCACCUGUGGCGAAGGCGGUCUACCAGAACACGUCCGACGGUGAGGGAUGAAAGCUGGGGGAGCAAACCGGAUUAGAUACCCGGGUAGUCCCAGCUGUAAACUAUGCAAACUCAGUGAUGCAUUGGCUUGUGGCCAAUGCAGUGCUGCAGGGAAGCCGUUAAGUUUGCCGCCUGGGAAGUACGUACGCAAGUAUGAAACUUAAAGGAAUUGGCGGGGGAGCACCACAAGGGGUGAAGCCUGCGGUUCAAUUGGAUUCAACGCCGGGAAUCACUAGUGAAUUCG
rnacentral:rRNA from 1 species